rnacentral:lncRNA from 1 species
GGCAAAUCUGGCUUUCUUUAGCAAAAGAAAAAAGGAUGGGGGGCCUGGGGGCGAAUACCUCAAUCUGUAUGCAAACCAGUUCAAAGCAAACCAGCAGUCAUCUCUUCAUAAAGGAGAGGGAAAGCCCGAGCUCCUAGCAACAUACUCCCUUCCCAGAGGUUCUACCUUGAAUGUGGGGGGAUGGGCAUAACCAGAUCAGCAAUUGUGAGUCACCACACAGGGGACAUCCUUUGAGGGUUCAAAUGGCUUCCCACACCUGCUCUCCAUGUUCUCCGCUGGCUUUCAGGACCUGAGCACUCAUUAGGCCCAGGUUAAUCGGAUGAUAGGGUGGUCUUUAAGAGAGACCCUGUCUCUGGAAGCUUCUACUCUGGGGAGUCCAGGGUCAGCAAAGCCCCUCACUACGCCUCACCCUGGGAGAUCUUUGGAGGCUGCGACGAAUGUGAUUGCUUUGGA